UACGUAGGUGGCAAGCGUUGUCCGGAUUUACUGGGAGUAAAGAGCGCGCAGGCGGUCGUUCAAGUCGCGUGUGAAAGCCCCCGGCUCAACUGGGGAGGGUCACGCGAUACUGAUCGACUCGAAGGCAGGAGAGGGAAGUGGAAUUCCCGGUGUAGUGGUGAAAUGCGUAGAUAUCGGGAGGAACACCAGUGGCGAAGGCGACUUCCUGGCCUGUUCUUGACGCUGAGGCGCGAAAGCUAGGGGAGCAAACGGG
rnacentral:rRNA from 1 species